AUGUCUUAUGGUAUUGGGUUUUGAUGCAAGCUUCUUGAUCAAAGUACUAAGAGUUUGUUAUAUAAUUGUAAACAAAUUUCGAUGAGAUGAUGGCAUUUCGGUGUUAUUGUCAAUAUUUGAAAUUUGGUAUAACUCCCAUGACUCAGGUAUGAUCCAAUUCAAGGACAUUGCCAGGUAGGGAGUUUGACUGGGGCGGUACAUCUCUCAAAUAAUAACGGAGGUGUCCCAAGGCCAGCUCAGUGCGGACAGAAACCACACAUAGAGCAAAAGGGCAAAUGCUGACUUGAUCUCGGUGNUCAGUACACACAGG
rnacentral:rRNA from 1 species